rnacentral:snRNA from 1 species
GUAUUCACUUCGAAGAUACAUAUACUAAAAUAUGAACGAUACAGAAAAGAUCAGCAUAGCCACUGGGCAAGGAUGAAACGCAAAAUCGUGAAACGCUGUACAUUUUU